AUUAUAGAACUCAGAUUGCUCAUUGUUUCAUUUUGAUUAUAUUGAAUUCAUAUUUAUUUCUGAUUUUAUACAGAUUUGAAGAUUGUGCAUAUUUUUGCUUUGUUAAAUGUAAGGAAACAUACUCCUAACAAGCGAUGCAGAAUCAAUUAACAUUUUUACUACAGAAAUAUGUUGACCCGAAAUCCAUUCAGCUGACAUUUGCACUUACACAAUUUAUCAUUAACGGUUUCACUAAUUAUUUUUUUUUUCACAGCAACAUAGCAAAUAAAUUUAUGUCACUCCAGAUGAUAUUUUGCAUAUUUACGUAUAGAUAGCAGAAAAGGGAGUUUUUAUACAUGUAUUUGAAAGAAAAUGGCAAUCCUGCAAGAGGAAAGCACUGGAGCAUUUUUAUAAAGCAAUUCGACUUUGAAGAACUAAACAGAAAAAAUGAUAUAUAUACAUACCGUUAAGAAAGUGUGUGUCCCUUUUGAACACGCUUUUUGCUACUCUACUUAUAUUAAUUCUCUCAUUUUCUCAUAUUUCAUAUUGACAAUCUAGUUUCAGCAGUAACAACGAGCGAAUCAUAUUCCAUAUAUUGCAGGACUGUAGCCUUUUUACAACACAAAAACAUCAUUAGUCCAUUGUUUACGUUCAUGUUCUUCAGAGGAUUUAAUGUUUUUGAAAAAUAUCUACAAAAAGAAGAAAAAAAGUUCAAAAAUAUAUAUAGCUCACAAAAACAAAGAAAAAAUCACAAAUAGGUAAAAAAAAAAAAAAAUAAAACAAAA
rnacentral:sRNA from 1 species